GAUGAACGCUGACAGAAUGCUUAACACAUGCAAGUCUACUUGAACUUCGGUUUGGGUGGCGGCCGGGUGAGUAACGCGUAACGAACUUGCCUCACAGUUAGGGACAACAUUUGGAAACGAAUGCUAAUACCUGAUAUUAUGAUUUUAGGGCAUCCUAGGAUUAUGAAAGCUAUAUGUGCUGUGAGAGAGCUUUGCGUCCCAUUAGCUAGUUGGAGAGGUAACGGCUCACCAAGGCGAUGAUGGGUAGCCGGCCUGAGAGGGUGAACGGCCACAAGGGGACUGAGACACGGCCCUUACUCCUACGGGAGGCAGCAGUGGGGAAUAUUGGACAAUGGACCAAAAGUCUGAUCCAGCAAUUCUGUGUGCACGAUGACGUUUUUCGGAAUGUAAAGUGCUUUCAGUUGGGAAGAAAAAAAUGACGGUACCAACAGAAGAAGUGACGGCUAAAUACGUG
rnacentral:rRNA from 1 species